rnacentral:tRNA from 1 species
GUGCCCUUAGCUCAGCUGGUAGAGCAACUGACUUUUAAUCAGUAGGUCGCAGGUUCGAAACCUGCAGGGCACACCA